CACAUUUUUAGACCAUAUGAAUUGGGAGAAAGACAUUUUCAUUAACCAAAUUAAAGAAUAUAUCUAUAACAUUUCUCCCUCCUUCUUCUCUUUUCUCCUUUUUCCAGUCCUUUCCUUUCCUUUCUUUAGUUCCCCUCUCUUCCUUCUCAGUUUGUAGCACUCUAAUCUAUUGAGCGAGCACAUGUUAAGUACAUCCUUUUUAUUUUAAUCUUUUUGUUUAAUCUUCAAAGUGAUCCUAUGAAGGAGACAGAUUUUAGUUAAUUGAUUGCUUGAUUGACUAAUUAACUCAAGGCUCAGAGAGCUCGAGUAACGUCCAAGGUCACCAGCUGGCAAGUGUGGGCACAUGGGCUGGAACCCAGACCGGUCUGACUCCGGGAUCACCUUCCUCAUCUUUAAAGAAAAACUGUUUCUCUGCUCACAACACUUCUGAUGCCAAAUGUGUAUGUUUUCCACACCAAGAACUUCUCCAGCUCUCUGUGGACGUCAACUUGGUGUCCUACAAUUUAAUUCAUUCUGAAACGACCGGAAUUAGGGCAGACGCCUCAGGUUAAGGGUUCAGUCCGAUGUUAAUGAAAAUAAUCCAUAACCAACCUAUAAAUGAAAAUUUGGGUGAGUUUAUUCUGAGCUGAAAUCUGAGGACCAUGGCCCGGGGCCUUUCUUCCCGAAGGAAGAAAGGGCACCAAAGAAGUGAGGUAUACAGAGUGGUUAUAUACCCCCAAACAGGAUGUUCCACAUAUGAUUGAAAUGUCCCUCCCACAAUAGUCACAAGAUUGCCCUGUCGGCACAGCGCUUGAUGGACACAGCAGGUAGUGGGUCUGCUAUCUCCAAGGGCGCAGCAGGAGGCAAGUCUAUUGUCUUGAGCUGGGUGGUCACAGGACAAGACGGUUUCCAUGGGAGCUGCCUGCAACACUGCAGAGAGACCCAGCAGGCCGCGGGAAACGUAGUUUGGAUGCUCAAAGGGUAAACAGAUUUGGGAGUCAGAUGUGCUAAGGUGAGAGUAAAACUAUGGAAGUAGGAGAGGUCAUCCAGAGAGUGUGUGCAAAGUGAGCCGAGGGGAAAGCUGAUGAGAGCACCGUGGGGAAUGCCACAUGGAAGGGCCAGGGGGAACCUGGAAUUCUUG
rnacentral:lncRNA from 1 species